CGGAGGGUGAGUAAUGUCUGGGAAACUGCCUGAUGGAGGGGGAUAACUACUGGAAACGGUAGCUAAUACCGCAUAACGUCGCAAGACCAAAGAGGGGGACCUUCGGGCCUCUUGCCAUCGGAUGUGCCCAGAUGGGAUUAGCUAGUAGGUGGGGUAAUGGCUCACCUAGGCGACGAUCCCUAGCUGGUCUGAGAGGAUGACCAGCCACACUGGAACUGAGACACGGUCCAG
rnacentral:rRNA from 1 species